rnacentral:tRNA from 1 species
GCCUCUAUAGUUUAAUUGGCAAAAUAAGGGAUUUGUAACCCCUAGUCGCCCGAUCGUAACGGGCUAGAGGCUCCA